AGGUUAUGGGGAAACGAUGAACCCCUCGCAUUUCCGAAAACGGGCGCAAGAGCGAAGGGUGAGUGAGUAGCGCGACCGGCCCCUUGGAGU
rfam:Acetomicrobium mobile DSM 13181 chromosome, complete genome.